GAGGAGUAAUGGGACAAUGUUGU
rnacentral:piRNA from 1 species